CUCCCCAGGCGCUGCCCCACCCCUCACCGGUCUCCUUAGGGCACCGUGUUCCUUCCACGCCCUGGGACGCUAGUGCCCCACAGCCCAGGGCAGACCGGGCUCCUGAGCGGAUGACUGAAUCAGCCUUUGCCCCAGCCCUUACUUCGCUCAGCACAACGGAACUAGAUACUUCAAAAGGAGUUUUCAUCAGGAUUCUCUGAGAACACAGAGGAAAGUGGGGAGGUGCCGAGGGCCCGGUCUUGGGCCCGCUCUGGAGCUUGCCUUCUCGUGGCUAGGUGGCACUGGGACUGUGUGGUCACUGCAGGCCAGGCCUUGUCAUCUGUGGACUGGGAGUCAUCACACCCACCCUUGAGGGUCUGAUGAUCCCUGAGCGUCAGUGCUGAGGUCAGAGCUUGCACGUGGCGUCCAACACCUGGUCACGGUUCCAGACUCCAGCUGCCUGAGCCCGGUGCUGCCGGAGGACAGGUGGCCCUAACCAUGUGCAGGAGCGGGACGGUCUCAGGAUGAGGGCACACACUGGCUUGUACUGGGAAGGUCACCAGGCCGAGUGUCGGAUAUCAGGCUCGGCAAGGGACAAGAGCCCAGCCCCUCUGUGGUGGCACUCACGCCUCCCUUCCCUGGGCCCAGGGGCCGCCCUGGCUCUGGGGCCUGCAGCCUAGUCCCCAGCUGGGCACCUGGGCUCUGGACUCGGGGUCAGCUUUUCCAGCCUGCCUGUCCGCUGCCUGGACUCCUGCCAGAUCCCAGUGACAGGCUUGCCCCUGGGGAAGCGUCUUCUUCUGCUGACGCUGUUGGCGAGCCUUUCUGCCUGGCUUGACGGAUUGUCUUCUCUUGUCUCUCCUUCAGCUGCGUCGAAAACACAGAACUUCUCAAACCCGGUCUCCUUCGAACGUCCCGUGGGGGCCUGGGUUUCCCGACACAAGACCUUCCUCGAUUAAGCUCAUUUGCUGGGUGGGGGUGGUGGACAACUGCUUCGCCCUGAGCCGUCUUCUCGUCAGCCUCUUCCGCCACCCCCCGUUGGCCGCUGCGGGGAGCCGUAGGGCCCCAGGAAACCCUCUUCAGCCUGGGUCCCUGGGCCUCGAGUGGACGAACAUUGCGCUUCAGGCACAGGGACUUGGGACAUCAGUGCAGAGAUGCUAAGGCCGUGUGCUGAGCGGUUCGGGGCCACAAUCGUUCUGCCCAGACAAGGGAGUGUCCCUGCUGAGAAACACCACACCUUCACUGUGCAGCCAGCAAACAGCAUUUUAGUCUCCCAAUGCAUUUUUUAUU
rnacentral:lncRNA from 1 species